ensembl:lncRNA
AACCCAGGCCCUGCAGAGCCCGGUGGCGCUCCUCCACCCCCAACACAGACGGAGGAAUAGCCCUACAGAUGGGACAAUUCCUUUAACGUGAGUAACACUCCUUAUGGAGCAAUGGUGGGAGCUUUUGCCACCUGAAUGUCUUCAGGGUGGAGAUUCAGGGCACUGGGUGAAGUCUCCUGCCCCCUGAGAUAUGGGGCUGCCCCGAGACCUGUCAGGAACCUCCCAAGCUCUGUGCCAAACUGCCUGAGCACAAAAUGGCCCCUGAGCAAACUUGUUCUGGCAGGUGUGUGAGGGCCAGUCUCUUUUCUUCCUGGGAGGAAGAGAGCCCUCAGGUCACCUCUCAGAAAGCCAGGACACCACCACCCCCAUCCCCAGCACUUCAUUUGAUAUCAAGGGGGUGAACCUCUGGGGAGGGGAGGAGAUUUUUCUUCCCUCACAGGAAUCCUCGAAGCCUCCUUCUAAAGUUUCUGGCCUGAGGAUUAUUUCUAAACUGGCACCAACUCAACACUAAGGCUACUUUUCUAAGGUGCAAAUGCUUUACUUCAGGAGGCACGCGUGACUUUUGUCGAAGACUCAUGACCUGGGUGGAGUCCCCCCGGACGCUCCCUGUCUGAGGCAGAGUUCCAGCUUCAAGGCAACCUUCAAAUAUUCAAAGUCACGUUGCCCCCCACCAAGAGUCCAGCCUUCAUCAGCGGGUCCUUGUAUGUGGCAGACGUGCGCUCACGUACAGUGGACAGAGUGUCUCCCUCAGGCUGGCUCUGGAAGGUCAUGACGUCUGUUGGUCAGAAGGUGGAAGGCCUGUCCUCCUGUCAGUUAUGCUUCCAACGUCCCUCCUCAGCAAUGGCCCUAUUGCACGGAACAUCCAGAGUCCACUGCUCUGUAAGCUUAGCCAGAGGAGAAGUGAUGAAGCAAGCAACCCAGCUCUCUUCUCUCAACCAAACCUGAGGAAGUGUUCUAUCCAUGGAGACAGCACCCUACUGUCGCCCCCAUUCAGCUUCCACAUUCUUCGGUGUGGUUCUGAGACGUGGCAGGCAAAGCUGCCUCUGUGGCUAGAACUCCCCCAUCAGACAACCGUGGUACACCUGAAGUUUAGGACCAUCUGCCUGGGACCCUGUGGAGGGGACUUCCUUUGUCAGUCGAGACCCUCGCUGGACAUGGGCGAGAAGAAGCACAUGAGUCUGUGGGGCCCACAUAUGCCCACCAGGUCCUCUAAGGUCUUGGUUGAUAGAGAGGCUUCCCGUUGGACUCCCAUAAGUGCAGAGAGUGCUCGAGUGCUAGUGAUCACGGCACCAUCCUGCAGUUGCUAGAGCAUUGACUUUAAAGCAACCCCCCAGUGUAUAAAGACUGAUGCCAAACAAGACACAUAUUUCAGAGAGCUCCAUCCAAGAAGGCACAACGGAAUCGCAUCCAAUAAUCAACAAACCCCCAUUAUCUUAGAUUUCCCCAAGGAAGUGUCUGUCUGACUGACACAAGAUGUUCUCUUUCAGCGUGAGCGAGAGAGACUCUAUUCUGCUCAAAUAAAACAGUUGCCUUGUUGAAUCUCUUUAAAUUG